UACGUAGGCAGCAAGCGUUGUUCGGAGUUACUGGGCGUAAAGGGUGUGUAGGCGGUUGGAUAAGUGUGGUGUGAAAUCUCCCGGCUCAACUGGGAGGGUGCGCUACAAACUGUCUGACUAGAGUGUGGGAUGGGAAAGUGGAAUUCCGUGGUGUAGCGGUGAAAUGCGCAGAUAUCAGGAGGAACACCGGUGGCGAAGGCGGGUCUCUGGGCCGAUACUGACGCUGAGGAGCGAAAGCGUGGGGAGCGAACAGG
rnacentral:rRNA from 1 species